ensembl:lncRNA
GGCCCCUCCUCCUUCCAUCUCCAAGGGGCUUUGGGAAAGGUAUAAAAACGCACCACCAUCCUCUGCGUCAGGACCAGUUGAAGUGCAAUAUUGAAGCCUGUACUGUACGAUUCAGGAUCCAGACUCUAACCUCAAGGCAUGUUGACCAGGAAUUUUCUCAUCUUCUGCUCUCUGGCAGUUCUGCUAGUACAAGCUGACUUCGAUACUAAUAACGAUCACGCUGCCCAAGCCAUGUCCACAGAUAAGGACUCAACCUCGGAGGAAGCUCCAACUGAAAGCAUAAAUGCCAUAUCCGCGGAUCAGCCUAAUGCUCCUAAACCUAAUGGAGUCACUGGACCUGGUGUUGCAGCAAACAGUGUUGAGGACCAGGAGGAGGAUGAAAGCUCAGAUGAAGGUCUGAAAAAAAAUAAUGUUCCUCCUCCUCCUCCUCCUGCUCCACAACAAAACUCAGGAAAGUUAGUUGGGCCAGCAGGUGGGAACCGGAGAAAGGCCCCAGCCCCACAACAAAAGAGGAGAUCACGACCCUCCCGCCGUCAGCAGUGAAAUGCCAAAAAGACACAGAGGCAAACAUUUACUUUUAGUUAAUUGCAUAGAAGAAGAAACAUAUUGUAUCCUAUUACUGUAUAUGCCAUAACAUGAAAGUGUACAGAACCGUACUCGCAUGAUGAAGCUGCUUUGAUGUAUCUUGAGCAGCAGAACAGUCAGCAAGACAUGACAUAUUGUUUACUGUAAUGUCUGUGGAAAACACUCAGUGGUAUGUUCAAUACAAACUCAUGGGCAUUUCUCUGUGAAUAAAAAUGUAGGAUUAAAUUAACAAUGUAUUGUGAUGACAUAAAACCAGGCCAAAUUAUCAUAACUGACCUUGACCUUAAGAGCCACUGAAACGGCUCUAAAUUCACCAACCUGUUUCAAAAUAGCAAGGACCUCACUCCCAUGAAAAUACCUCCAUUUCUAAAUGAGCGCACACACCGCACUAAAUGUCGAUCUCCGUUCAUUCGGCGUGGUGUGUUUUAUGGACCACUUGCCUGUGGGCGUCUGACUGCUAACAUUUUCGCGUGGUUUGCACUCGGUUUGCAAAUUACAGCUGGCACUCUGUUCAGAGGUGCUAAGUACUCUCGGCUGGCAAACGCUAGAGAGACUUGCUAUUUUGAUCAUGAGCCAGUUGGUGGAAAUAUGGAGUUACGAACUAGCAAUACAAUAUUGUUAGCUAAAGUGAAAAGACUAGAUAUUCUUUACAGAAAACGGCUAAAGAAAUCCCAUAAUUUAUCUCAGUUGAUGAGGAUACCUUUGACUGUUGCUGCCUACCCAAAGACUGUUACACUGUCCUCAGUCAGCAUAUCUUUUAGUGCAUAAUCGUUCAAAACAACCCUGCUCUCGAACACAAAACCAGUGUUUCAAUCAAAAAUAUUUCUUUCUUUUUUCUAAUCAUCAUUUUUAUACCCACAGUAUUCAACACAUUAUGUAUGAAACAUGUUUGAUGAAUGUCAAUUUCAAAACAUGUUUAAGUGUGAACCUCUGUAUCUUACAUCAUAUCUUUCCAAAUAAACUUCUUUGAGCAAAGUGAUAUUUCUGACUGUUUUCCAUCCUUGAACCAUG